AAUAUUAAUCACAAUCGCAUUAGCAUAAAGGUCAUUUGACACAGCAGGAGGUUAAAAUCUGCCACAACAUUAAACAGUAUGAGCAACCUUUGAAAAGUAAAGUAAACAGACUCAAUG